AGUGAACGCUGGCGGUAGGCCUAACACAUGCAAGUCGAACGGCAGCACAGGAGAGCUUGCUCUCUGGGUGGCGAGUGGCGGACGGGUGAGGAAUACAUCGGAAUCUACUCUGUCGUGGGGGAUAACGUAGGGAAACUUACGCUAAUACCGCAUACGACCUACGGGUGAAAGCAGGGGACCUUCGGGCCUUGCGCGAUUGAAUGAGCCGAUGUCGGAUUAGCUAGUUGGCGGGGUAAAGGCCCACCAAGGCGACGAUCCGUAGCUGGUCGGGGAGGAUGACCAGCCACACGAGAGCUGAGACACGGUCCAGACUCGUACGGGAGGCAGCAGUGGGGAAUAUUGGACAAUGGGCGUAAGCCUGAUCCAGCCAUACCGCGUGGGUGAAGAAGGCCUUCGGGUUGUAAAGCCCUUUUGUUGGGAAAGAAAUCCAGCUGGCUAAUACCCGGUUGGGAUGACGGUACCCAAAGAAUAAGCACCGGCUAACUUCGUGCCAGCCGCCGCGGUAA
rnacentral:rRNA from 1 species